rnacentral:tRNA from 1 species
GGUAAAAUGGCUGAGUAUAGGCGGUAAGCUGUAAACUUAUUUACGAAUUUUUUCUUUUGCC